rnacentral:misc_RNA from 1 species
GAUGAAGAACGUAGCGAAAUGCGAUAAGUAAUGUGAAUUGCAGAAUUCAGUGAAUCAUCGAAUCUUUGAACGCCCAUUGCGCCCGCUAGUAUUCUGGCGGGCAUGCCUGUCCGAGCGUCAUUUCAACCCUCAAGCCCCCGGGCUUGGUGUUGGGGAUCGGCGAGCCUCCGCGCCCGCCGUCCCCUAAAUCUAGUGGCGGUCUCGCUGUAGCUUCCUCUGCGUAGUAGCACACCUCGCACUGGGAAACAGCGCGGCCACGCCGUUAAACCCCCAACUUCUGAACGUUUGACCUCGGAUCAGGUAGGAAUACCCGCUGAACUUAAGCAUAUCAAUAAGCGGAGGA